rnacentral:lncRNA from 1 species
GUUUGUAAUAUUUUUUAUAUGGUAUUUGUUAUAUAUUGAAAAUUCUAUAUAUUUUUGACAAACUCGAGGUUGAUUGCAAUUAGCUCUUUGAAGGCUUUAUACACCAAGUUUGAUACAAGCCAUUUACUCUCAUAAGCAUAGUCUUAUGCAAGUUUGAAUACACCAUCUUCAUAAGAUCUAGGCAUGCUUCUGGUGCCUAUUGGUGCCCCAAGAAGGGGUCGACGGCGGAGACUGGUGGGAAGUCAUCUUCUUUGCACGCACACCAAGUAUCUUUGCAAAUGCAAGUUUCGCAUUGUCCACAAACGCUGAUGCUGCAGUCUGAAUCCUCCUUGCAUCGAAAUGUAAUUACACGGAACCUCCCUUCAGCUACCAUCUCAUCUGAAUCUGCAUAUCAUUUUCAACAUGCAUCAAUUAAUUCAAUCACUAUUAAAUAUGCAUGCAUAAAUGUGAUAUGUCACCUUUUAAAGUUAAUAGGAAUGAACAUAAAUGGAUAGGAGAGACUUACAGUAUCCAAAAACCACGAGGAUGACCAUGAGAGCCAAUUUGAGUGAAGAUUUCUCCAUUUUUUUUUUUUAUAUAUGCACUAGGAAUUUAUUGGAAAAAGAAUUUUAUAGGUGAAGCUGUUCG